rnacentral:rRNA from 1 species
CACGGAGUUAGCCGGUGCUUCUUCUGCGGGUAACGUCAAUCGGUGAAGCUAUUAACUUCACCGCCUUCCUCCCCGCUGAAAGUACUUUACAACCCGAAGGCCUUCUUCAUACACGCGGCAUGGCUGCAUCAGGCUUGCGCCCAUUGUGCAAUAUUCCCCACUGCUGCCUCCCGUAGGAGUCUGGACCGUGUCUCAGUUCCAGUCGUGGCUGGUCACUCCUCUCAGACCAGCUAGGGAUCGUCGCCUAGGUGAGCCAUUACCCCACUACUAGCUAAUCCCAUCUGGCACAUCCGAUGGUGUGGAGGACCCGACGGUCCCCCUACGUUUGGUCUUGCGUACGUUAGUGCGUAUUAGCUUACCGUUUC